GGUGUUGUAGCUUAGUGGCAGAGCACUUACCUAGCAAGUGGGAGGCACUGGGUUUCAUCCUUAGCACCA
rnacentral:tRNA from 1 species